rnacentral:lncRNA from 1 species
AAUAAUAAUAAUCACAGAAACAACAGCCCCAUUCCUUCCUUCCUCCGAAUGGGUACUGGGUAGGAGGAGGCAGAUAGAGAGAGGGAGGGUGAUGAUGUCAAAACCCAUGAUGGUGCAGCAGACUAUUUUUGAGCGUAUACCCAACUACCUACCUUACGAGCACAACCAUCAUCGUUAUCAUAGUAGUGGCCAUUGUCCGCCAUGAAGACGACACUCGGCAAAAACAACAACCUGCUUUUAUGGGCAAAUAUCUAGUUAGGAGAAGGCAUGCUCACCCCUGCUACCAAUACCAGCUCCACUACUGAUAGCCAUCUUCUUUCUUUUCCCAGUCUUUCUUACUCAUAUCUUUUUUUAAAAUAAGAAUAUUAUGUAUACAGGGGGUCUCCACAGUACGCUAUUUCAAACAAUGUUAAUGUCGUAUAAAACAGCUGUCCCUCAAUCAAAUUUUUCAGAAUAAUUGUUAUGUACAAAUAGGAGAAUGGAAAUGUUUCAUGAAAGUAGAGGGGAUUCGCUAUUCCAUAUGUAUCUAAUAUAUUUCAAGAUGUAUGUUUACUAUAAGAAUGAACCUGUGAUUAUUAGGCUGUACAAUACAAAGUUGUAGGAAUUCUCGGACUACAAAUUAAUUUUC